AGAGUUUGAUCCUGGCUCAGAACGAACGCUGGCGGCGUGCUUAACACAUGCAAGUCGAGCGAGAAAGGGGGGGCAACUCCCUGAGUAAAGCGGCGCACGGGUGAGUAACGCGUGGGUAACCUACCCCUCGGCGGGGGAUAACGACUCGAAAGGGUCGCUAAUACCGCAUGAGACCACGGGGUCCUCGGACCCUGAGGCCAAAGGCUGCAUCGGCUUGCCGGUGUAAUCACCGGGGGAUGGGCCCGCGUCCGAUUAGCUAGUUGGUGAGGUAACGGCCCACCAAGGCUACGAUCGGUAGCUGGUCUGAGAGGAUGAUCAGCCACACUGGAACUGGAACACGGUCCAGACUCCUACGGGAGGCAGCAGUGAGGAAUAUUGCGCAAUGGGGGAAACCCUGACGCAGCAACGCCGCGUGGGUGAAGAAGGCCUUCGGGUCGUAAAGCCCUUUCGGACGGGACGAAAUUUCCGCGGGGUCAAGCCGCGGAACUUGACGGUACCGUAGGAAGAAGCACCGGCUAACUCCGUGCCAGCAGCCGCGGUAAUACGGAGGGUGCAAGCGUUGUUCGGAAUUACUGGGCGUGAAGCGCGUGUAGGCGGCCUUGCAAGUCAGAUGUGAAAGCCCUCGGCUUAACCGGGGAAGUGCAUCUGAAACUGCUUGGCUUGAGUACGGGAGAGGGAGGCGGAAUUCCCAGUGUAGAGGUGAAAUUCGUAGAUAUUGGGAGGAACACCGGUGGCGAAAGCGGCCUCCUGGACCGAUACUGACGCUGAGACGCGAGAGCGUGGGGAGCAAACAGGAUUAGAUACCCUGGUAGUCCACGCUGUAAACGAUGGGCACUAGGUGUGGGGGGUAUCCACUCCUCCCGUGCCGAAGCUAACGCAUUAAGUGCCCCGCCUGGGGAGUACGGCCGCAAGGUUAAAACUCAAAGGAAUUGACGGGGGCCCGCACAAGCGGUGGAGCAUGUGGUUUAAUUCGACGCAACGCGAAGAACCUUACCUGGGCUUGACAUCCCUGGAACCCCCUGGAAACAGGGGGGUGUCCUCGAAAGAGGAAGCCAGGAGACAGGUGCUGCAUGGCUGUCGCCAGCUCGUGUCGUGAGAUGUUGGGUUGAGUCCCGCAACGAGCGCAACCCUUGUCCUUAGUUGCCAGCAUUCAGUUGGGCACU
rnacentral:rRNA from 1 species